CGCCCAAACCGGGGGGGUCUUCGGGCCCCCCCGGGGUAGUAGGGCCCACGGGAGCGCGCGGCCGGCGGGGCCGAAGCGGCUGGAAGGCCGCCCCGCAGGGGGUGAGAGGCCCGUAGGCGGAGGCGGGCCGCGCGCGGUGGGGACCCUGAGUAGGGCGGGGCCCGAGGACCCCCGCCCGAAGCGGCCGGGACCACCCGGCAAGGCGGACUACUCCCGGGAGACCGAUAGCGAACCAGUACCGUGAGGGAAAGGUGAAAAGCACCAGGGGGGUGAAAGAGACCCUGAAACCGUGCGCCCGCGAGCGGUCGGGGCCCCCGCGAGGGGGUGACGGCGUGCCUUUUGCAUAAUGAGCCUACGAGUCGCGCCGGCCGGCGAGGUUAACCCCCUGGAGGGGGGGAGCCGUAGCGAAGGCGGGUCCCGCGAGGGCGGGAGUCGGCCGGCGCGGGCGCGAAACUUUGCGAUCUACCCACGGCCAGGCUGAAGGCCCGGUGAAGCGGGCUGGAGGGCCGAACCGUUGCGCGUUGAAAAGCGCUCGGAUGAGCCGUGGGUAGGGGUGAAAGGCCAAUCAAGCUGAGAGAUAGCUCGUACUCCCCGAAAUGCCUUUAGGGGCAGCCUCGGGGCAGCCGCGCGGAGGUAGAGCGACCGGUCGGGCGCGAGGGCUUCGCCGCCUAUCAAGCCCCGCCGAACUCCGAAUGCCGCGCGGCGGUCCCCGGGAGUGAGCCGGCGGGUGCUAAUGCCCGCCGACGAGAGGGGAAGAACCCGGACCAGCGGCCAAGGCCCCCGAGCGCGCGCUAAGUUGGCCGAACGCGGUCCGGCCGCCUGGACAGCCAGGACGUUGGCUCGGAAGCAGCCACCCGUCCAAGGAGUGCGUAACAGCUCACUGGUCGAGCGGCCGGGCACGGAUAAUGAGCGGGCAUCAAGCGCGCCGCCGAAGCCCUGGGGGCGCGGGCGAGAGGCCCGCGCGCGGUAGGGGAGCAUUCCCGCCCGCGGGGAAGGCGGGCCGCGAGGCCGGCUGGAGCGGCGGGAAGGGCCGAUGUAGGCAUGAGUAGCGACAACGCCGGCGGGAAACCGGCGCACCGAUAGGCCCAGGGUUCCUGAUCAACGCUAAUCGGAUCAGGGUGAGCCGGGGCCUAAGGCUAAGGCGAGGGCCGACGCCGAUGGGGAGCGGGUGGAGAUUCCCGCGCUGCCCGCGGCCGCGACGGGGUGACGGAGGUGUGGCAGCCGCGCCGGGUGACGGACGUCCCGGCCGAAGGGGGUAGGUAGAGGCCCGGGGCAACGCCCGGGCCUGCCGAGCCUGAGAGCGCCGCGCGCCCCCGGGCGCGCGGUCAAGCGGCGUAAGCGAGCUCCCGAGAAAAGCCCCUAAGCGACAGGCCGCGGGCACCCGUACCGCAAACCGACACAGGUGGCCGAGGAGAGGAUCCUGAGGUGCUCGAGUGAUUCACGGCCAAGGAACUAGGCAAACUGGCCCCGUAACUUCGGGAGAAGGGGCCCCCCGCGGCGACGCGGGGGCGCAGCGAAGCGGCCCAGGCGACUGUUUAGCAAAAACCCAUGGCUCUGCCAAGCCGAGAGGCGACGUAUAGGGCCUGACACCUGCCCGGUGCCGGAAGGUCAAGGGGGGGCGUGAACCCUUCGGGGGGCAGCGCCGAGCCGAAGCCCCGGUAAACGGCGGCCGUAACUAUAACGGUCCUAAGGUAGCGAAAUUCCUUGUCGGGUAAGUUCCGACCUGCACGAAUGGUGUAACGAUCUGGGCGCUGUCUCGGCCGUGAGCUCGGCGAAAUUGAAGUCGCGGUGAAGAUGCCGCGUACCCGCAGCGGGACGGAAAGACCCCGUGAACCUUUACUGCAGCUCCGCGCUGCGCCGGGGCCCGCGCCGCGUAGGAUAGGCCGGAGGCUAGGAGCCGCCCCCCCCGGGGGGCGGGGAGCCGCCGUUGAAAUACGGCCCUGCGCGGGCCCGGGCGCUAACCCCCCUGGGGGGGGGGACACCGCGCGGCGGGUAGUUUGACUGGGGUGGUCGCCUCCCAAAGGGUAACGGAGGCUCCCCAAGGUGCCCUCAGCGCGGAUGGCAAUCGCGCGGCGAGUGCAAUGGCACAAGGGCGCUUGACCGCGAGGCCGACGGGCCGAGCGGGUGCGAAAGCAGGGCAUAGUGAUCCGGUGGCGCCGUGUGGAAGGGCCAUCGCGCAAAGGAUAAAAGGUACUCCGGGGAUAACAGGCUGAUCGCCCCCGAG
rnacentral:rRNA from 1 species